rnacentral:rRNA from 1 species
UUGGAGGGCAAGUCUGGUGCCAGCAGCCGCGGUAAUUCCAGCUCCAAUAGCGUAUAUUAAAGUUGUUGCAGUUAAAAAGCUCGUAGUUGAAUUUCGGGGUUAGUAGGUUGGUCAUGCCUCUGGUAUGUACUGGUCUCACUGAUUCCUCCUUCCUUAUGAACCGUAAUGCCAUUAAUUUGGUGUUGCGGGGAAUUUGGACUGUUACUUUGAAAAAAUUGAGUGUUUAAAGCAGGCGCACGCUUGAAUACAUUAGCAUGGAAUAAUGAAAUAGG